rnacentral:rRNA from 1 species
UACGGAGGGAGCUAGCGUUGUUCGGAUUCACUGGGCGUAAAGGGUGCGUAGGCGGUCGGGUAAGUCUGAUGUGAAAUCUCGCAGCUUAACUGCGAAACUGCAUUGGAUACUAUCCGGCUCGAGGAAUGGAGGGGAGACUGGAAUACUUGGUGUAGCAGUGAAAUGCGUAGAUAUCAAGUGGAACACCAGUGGCGAAGGCGAGUCUCUGGACAUUUCCUGACGCUGAGGCACGAAAGCCAGGGGAGCAAACGGG